rnacentral:rRNA from 1 species
GACGAACGCUGGCGGUGUGCUUAACACAUGCCAGUCGAACGGAAAGGCCCUGCUUUUGUGGGGUGCUCGAGUGGCGAACGGGUGAGUAACACGUGAGUAACCUGCCCUUGACUUUGGGAUAACUUCAGGAAACUGGGGCUAAUACCGGAUAGGAGCUCCUGCUGCAUGGUGGGGGUUGGAAAGUUUCGGCGGGUGGGGAUGGACUCGCGGCUUAUCAGCUUGUUGGUGGGGUAGUGGCUUACCAAGGCUUUGGCGGGUAGCCGGCCUGAGAGGGUGACCGGCCACAUUGGGACUGAGAUACGGCCCAGACUCCUACGGGAGGCAGCAGUGGGGAAUAUUGCACAAUGGGCGGAAGCCUGAUGCAGCAACGCCGCGUGCGGGAUGACGGCCUUCGGGUUGUAAACCGCUUUCGCCUGUGACGAAGCGUGAGUGACGGUAAUGGGUAAAGAAGCACCGGCUAACUACGUG